rnacentral:rRNA from 1 species
UGGGGAAUUUUGGACAAUGGGCGAAAGCCUGAUCCAGCAAUGCCGCGUGUGUGAAGAAGGCCUUCGGGUUGUAAAGCACUUUUGUCCGGAAAGAAAUCCUUGGCUCUAAUACAGUCGGGGGAUGACGGUACCGGAAGAAUAAGCACCGGCUAACUACGUGCCAGCAGCCGCGGUAAUACGUAGGGUGCAAGCGUUAAUCGGAAUUACUGGGCGUAAAGCGUGCGCAGGCGGUUUGCUAAGACCGAUGUGAAAUCCCCGGGCUCAACCUGGGAACUGCAUUGGUGACUGGCAGGCUAGAGUAUGGCAGAGGGGGGUAGAAUUCCACGUGUAGCAGUGAAAUGCGUAGAGAUGUGGAGGAAUACCGAUGGCGAAGGCAGCCCCCUGGGCCAAUACUGACGCUCAUGCACGAAAGCGUGGGGAGCAAACAGGAUUAGAUACCCUGGUAGUCCACGCCCUAAACGAUGUCAACUAGUUGUUGGGGAUUCAUUUUCUUAGUAACGUAGCUAACGCGUGAAGUUGACCGCCUGGGGAGUACGGUCGCAAGAUUAAAACUCAAAGGAAUUGACGGGGU